rnacentral:lncRNA from 1 species
CCAUACUUAUAGUUUUCCAAACGGGCGGCGCGGCACUACACGGCACUAGCACGGUGCUGGCACGGCACUAACAGGCACGGCCCUAUCAGGCACGCGUGCCAGCCGUGUCGUGCCGAGUAGGGCUACCGUGCCAAGCUCCAGGCACGGGCACUACACUAAGGGCGAGAAUUAGUGUCGUGUCGUGCCCAAGGGCACGGCAGCCCGCCAGUGAACAUUAGAUUAGUGUCGUGCAGCACCGUCAGCAGCAGAACCCUCGAAGAGCUCCUCGGCAGCACGAGGGCCCAAGAGCUCCUCGUCAUCCCCAAAGAGAUCGUCCUCAUCGUCUCCAGUCAUCUCGACGAUCUCAUCCUCUUCUGUCAUCUCGUCCGUCUCUGGUCCCUCAACGCCAAACCCUAAUGAACAUCAAAACAAAAGAGAGAAUUAAAACCGUUGCUUGACGAGAUCUAAACCCUAACGAACAUCCAAACCCUAACGAGAUCUAGGGUUACGACUCACCUUGCUUGACGGAGCACCAGAGACAACGGCGAGGACGUCGUUGCCAAGAUCCGGCACCCUGGUACCUCAACGCAUCAAAGCGGAGCACCGAACCUGCCGGAGUCCGGCAACGGCGGCGUCGACGACAGAGACGAGAGAGAGAGGAUAAGAGGAGAUGGACGAGGUUACGUUCACAUUGACUUGGAGCAAGGAAGAAGGGGGUGGGGGAUGUAGAUCCGUGUGUCAAUCAGCCGCCGUGGCCCUCUGCUUCUCACCGGACGAAGGGAAGAAGAAGGUGGAUUUAGGGUUUCAGCCGGGGAGGAGACGCCGCGUCGAGAGCGAGUGGAAGAGGAGAGGGCGAGAGGCCGGCCGAGGGGGGGGGAUGAUUUAG